rnacentral:rRNA from 1 species
CGGACCGGCGCACGGUGAGUAACGCGUAUGCAACCUACCUAUCAGGAGGGAAUAACCCGGCGAAAGUCGGACUAAUACCGCAUAAAACAGGGGUUCCACAUGGAAAUAUUUGUUAAAGAAUUAUCGCUGAUAGAUGGGCAUGCGUUCCAUUAGAUAGUUGGUGAGGUAACGGCUCACCAAGUCUACGAUGGAUAGGGGUUCUGAGAGGAAGGUCCCCCACACUGGUACUGAGACACGGACCAG